rnacentral:lncRNA from 1 species
GGGUGGUUGUUGUAUGCAUUGUAAUUUGACUUCCUAUAUGAAUUCUUUUUAUCCUGGUGCACAGUGAGCAUGACAUGCUGGUGACUCUGCUUUUCCUUGGGUGUUACUGUACCAUGCAGUUAGGCAUUUUCCAAGCAGAAACCUUCUUUCCUUCACUCCACACCCCAAACUGCUGUGACUAUUGUCUCCAGGGAGAGGAACAGGGAAAAAUAAAGCCAGUAGCAAAUAGAGGCAAAUUGAAACCCUACUUCAGCAGACAAGGAUUACAGAAUCCACAGGCUCUGGAGGACUCGAAGCCUGACACUUUGGCAACAUUUCCAGCUGUUUGUGUCCACUUUACUUCAUUCCCCUGGGUGGCAGCGGAGCCAUUCAGAUGCUGGCUGGGCCCCAUGCCGUUCUUGCAGCGUGUGGGUGGUUCCCCCUUGGCAGAAGGCAAACCCUCUCCGGCACAGCCCCAGAUCCCAGGCGCAUUCCUCGGGAGCCGGCCGCUCCGAUUCCCUGAUUUACGAUGGAAAGAAAAAAAACCAAAUCCAAGAGUGGGAGGGGACAUGAAGAAAAGGGGUUGGGGCCCUGUGGAAUUACAUCUCUGUUUAUAGAAAAUUUAUAUUUUAAUUAGGAAAACCCAGCAACUGGGAAGAUUUUUAUUAUAAUGAUGGCUAUUAUAAACCUGGCGUUUAUACUUGGGGUGCAUUCAAAUUUUGUUUUGUAAGUCUGGUCUUAUAUAAGCCGUUUUUAAAGCUAUCAGAUUCUGUGACCUUUUUUAGGAAAAAACCAGCAGACCAUUUUAAGUUCCAGUUGUACAUAUGCUGCUUUUUGGUAGAACAACGUGAGCUGGGGGAAUGUUUUCUUUACUGUUUGGCUUUUUGCAACUGUAAUGUUCUCAUUCACAAUGGUGAAGGCCAAACUAUUUUUUUUCUUUUUUCAUGAAAUCUGAGAGGUUGAUUAACCACAGCCAGAGGGAGCGAGUGGACUGUUUCCCUAGGGUAUGGAAGACCUACAUUUAAUCCUAUCCUUGAACUGAACCUAAAGCUGUCUGGUUUGGGUACCUACCACUAUCAUUUCACAAAAGGAGAGAGAACAGAACAGGAUCACUUGGGCUCAAGGGAAGUAACCAGAGAUGCCAGUCCAGAUCUGAAGUUUUCCAAGGCAGAAAACAGCACCAAAACAGAAUGUUCCUGGAAAAAAAAGAAGUGGUUCCAGCUGGCAUGAACAUUUUCUACAAAUUCAGAAAAAGCAUUUCGUCAAAACCCUGGUGGGUUGGCUCUUUGUUUUUCAGGUGUACUGUGUAGCUUUAAACUUUUUCUUGUGUCUAACUUGGUCACAAUUGAACAGAGCAUGAGAAAUUAAUAGAUGGGUUUGAUUUAAAGGAUGGAAUAAGUAUAACUGGUUAAAUUAAUUUUACUCCUCUAGAUAGAGAGAGGAACUGAAAAUGUUUCAAUACAUCUAAACAAGUGACCCC